rnacentral:rRNA from 1 species
ACGCUGGCGGCAGGCCUAACACAUGCAAGUCGAGCGGAAACGACUUAUCUGAACCUUCGGGGAACGUUAAGGGCGUCGAGCGGCGGACGGGUGAGUAAUGCCUAGGAAAUUGCCCUGAUGUGGGGGAUAACCAUUGGAAACGAUGGCUAAUACCGCAUGAUGCCUACGGGCCAAAGAGGGGGACCUUCGGGCCUCUCGCGUCAGGAUAUGCCUAGGUGGGAUUAGCUAGUUGGUGAGGUAAUGGCUCACCAAGGCGACGAUCCCUAGCUGGUCUGAGAGGAUGAUCAGCCACACUGGAACUGAGACACGGUCCAGACUCCUACGGGAGGCAGCAGUGGGGAAUAUUGCACAAUGGGCGCAAGCCUGAUGCAGCCAUGCCGCGUGUGUGAAGAAGGCCUUCGGGUUGUAAAGCACUUUCAGUCGUGAGGAAGGURGURKWGUUAAUAGCWGYAUYAUUUGACGUUAGCGACAGAAGAAGCACCGGCUAACUCCGUGCCAGCAGCCGCGGUAAUACGGAGGGUGCGAGCGUUAAUCGGAAUUACUGGGCGUAAAGCGCAUGCAGGUGGUUUGUUAAGUCAGAUGUGAAAGCCCGGGGCUCAACCUCGGAAUAGCAUUUGAAACUGGCAGACUAGAGUACUGUAGAGGGGGGUAGAAUUUCAGGUGUAGCGGUGAAAUGCGUAGAGAUCUGAAGGAAUACCGGUGGCGAAGGCGGCCCCCUGGACA